UGUCUUGUUAUUUGUGUCCUCUCUGGGGAGGGAAAGCCAGAAGGCGGCAGGGCCUUGGCCAUCCUGUUCACCUGUCUUCUAGUGCUAGAACACCACCCUGCCGAGGCCACCAGGCUCAGGUACCUGUUGACUGAAUGAGGGAACCUGCAAAGAGCAGCCGGUCCCAGCAUCCUGGAGCGUCAUCUUGAGAGGCAGGUGGCUCCCCAAGGCUUGAACCCCAGUUUCUCAGGAGCUGAGCAAGACACCUGCCAGGGGUCACAUCCUGCCACAAGAGAGCUGGUUCUUAGUCUCGAGAAGAGAAAUGUUAGGUCUGAUUGGUCAGCUGGGCUUGGAGGCAGAACACCCCCCCAUCACCUCACAGGAAAGCAGGGAACCCCACUGCUCUGGAGGAGACCUCCUUGGCGGGGUGCCUGACAGAGCGGCUCCCUGGGAUGGGCACCCUGUCGCCUCCGCUCACCACCGCAGGCCGUGGCCCACAUCUCGAGCCUUCGCUGCUACCGGUUUAAGCCGAUAGACUGUGGAGGGGCAGCUGAUCUGGGAGCAUCGCCACCAAACAACGGCACCAGCUUAAAGAGGAAAAGGAAUAAAAAGUACCCGUUUGUUCCUUGCCCCCCUUGAC